AGCCACUCGCGGCAAAGCAAGAAAAGAGAGAGGGAGAGAGAGAACGAGAGAUAGGAAGGGAGAGCCCGGAGACGGACAGCGAGCGAGUCGUGCCAGGUCAAGAAGGAGGCUAAGUGACAUGGCGCUGGUCCCAUUCCCCCAGCCUAGCUUCAAUGCCACCCCAUACCCCCCUCCCCAGCCUGAGAUCCAGACCCCCCCAUACCCCCCUCACCAGCCUGAGAUCCAGACCCCCCCAUACCCCCCUCACCAGCCUGAGAUCCAGACCCCCCAUACCCCCCUCCCCAGCCUGGAUCCAGACCCCCCCAUACCCCCCUCACCAGCCUGGCCCGUACAAGGGAGGUCCUGCCCCUGGAGGGUACUCAUCUCUACUCCAGAUCUACACUGUACAGUCUGGAUUCCAGCAAAUGGUCAACACGGCCGUCAGGAUGCAAGGUCCUGCCCCUGGAGGGUACCCAGCUGCACCCCAGUACUACGCUGGACAGCCUGGACCCCAGAAAAUGGGUCCUGCCCCUGGAGGGUACCCAUCUGUACCCCAGUACUACCCUGGACAGCCCGGACCCCAGAAAAUGGGU